CGAACGCUGGCGGCGUGCUUAACACAUGCAAGUCGAGCGAUGAAGCACCUUCGGGUGUGAAUUAGCGGCGAACGGGUGAGGAACACGCGAGAAAUCUGCCUUCAACUCUGGGAUAACUCCGUGAAAACGGGGCUAAUACCGGAUAUGAAACCUUCAGGCAUCUGAGGGUUUGGAAAGUUUUUCGGUUGAAGAUGAUCUCGCGGCCUAUCAGCUUGUUGGUGAGGUAAUGGCUCACCAAGGCGACGACGGGUAGCCGGCCUGAGAGGGCGACCGGCCACACUGGGACUGAGACACGGCCCAGACUCCUACGGGAGGCAGCAGUGGGGAAUUUUGGACAAUGGGGGCAACCCUGAUCCAGCAAUGCCGCGUGAGUGAAGAAGGCCUCGGUGUAAGCUCUUUGUCAGGAGAAAGUGUUCUUAAUACGGAAUACUCAUGACGGUACCUGAAGAUAAGCACCGGCUAACGUACGUGCCAGCAGC
rnacentral:rRNA from 1 species